UGGCCACAAACUCAGCCUUCUUCCAGCAAGGCUUCAAGAGUCCAUCAAGGAGACAUGGUGCAGCUUUAGCCUUGAACCAGAAGGUAUGUUCCUGUUACAUUUCAAAUCCUGAGAUUAAACUAAUUUUUGCAAGAGUAAUGGAAACAGAAAACUAGAUAACCGUAAUUGAUUGUAAACUUCAUAUCACAGAUGAAAUUAGUUAUACUGUAAACUUCACUCAGAAGAUGAAUAAGCUUGGAUAUGAAGUCUAGCCUUUCACAAAUGUUAACUAUUGUUCAUCCAAGAAAUGAAUUGGGUGCAAAGUGAUAUAGGUAAUUCAUUAAUGAUUUAUUAAUUUUAUUUCUUUCAGUGUUUUGCAUGCAUUUUAUCGUUCAUUAUUAUAUUCUUUAAACAUAACACAUUUGACCUUGUCAGUUGUCUCUCUUGUUUUGUUCUAGUAGUUGCACAGAGAAUAUCUAAUAACCAACAAUUUUCUAGAUCCUAUGGCAUGAUUAUAUUUUCUGAGUAUUGGUUAUUUUUUAAUAUCUAUUCUUAAUUUUUGGUGCAUUUCUUAUUUUCUGUCUCAGAGGCCAUCAUUCAUUUUAAAUGAAGAUAUUUCACUUAAGGAGCUCGCAACUGUUGCAACCAAACAGCCAAGUCCUGUCUCUGUCCUUGAUGACUUCUUGUACCGAGAUGACUUGCUACCUUCUUCUGUGGAGAGAAAUCCAAAUGUAUUCAAAGGUGAAGACUUGGCCUAUGAUCUCUCACUUUCAAAGUACAGUGGUAAUUUAUAAAAUGCUUCAUCUAAGAAGUGAUAGUUUUCUGUUCUGAGUUCUGACCAUAGUUAAGUAACACAAUGCCAUGUGAUCAGGCCACUGUUGGGGUUUCCCUCAUGCAAGAGAGGCCCAGAUGUACCUUAAAGGACGGGCACUCUUAAGACAAUCAGCAACUAAUGCAAACAUCCAACUUUUUCUUUGUGGUCCUACAGGAUCUCAUAGAAAUACCUAGAGUCCCAAACAUAACAACUUGGAAACAUCCAAUUCAUGCUUUGUCAAAAGUAGCAUUCAGAGUAUACACAUUCAAAUUAUAUGUGUAAAUGUCUGGAUUUAUGUAUACAUGCAGACCCACAACUUACAUGUUGCCGACUCCCAGUCAGGUCUAUAAAUAAAUGUUGCCCAAAAUAUGUACAUACUUAGCUGUGCCUUUCAUCACAACAUAUCAAUUUGGUCAUGUUUAUAAUUGAUUGUAUGCUCCAUGAACACUAACAUGCAUUUAUGGCGUGCAACUGUAUUGCAAACUGGCAUACAUCUGGAUAUAGAGGAAGCAUACCUGUCAGAAUAAUUAAAUGACCGGCAGUUUCUAGAAAUCAUCUUGAAAAAAGGUUCUAGUAUUGAGAUUUAAACGCUGUCUGGUGUAACUAAAGAGCUGUUUUACCUUGAGCAGAUGAAAAAAUUCCUACUUCAGAUGAUUACCAAAAAACAAUUGGCCUGCCUGAUUCCCCACCACCCAAGAUGAUCUCUGAAAUCGACUACAAGAAACUUGAAAGCAUUGAGAACCAAGUUCAGCAACUUCAACAGCUUACCUCAACAAAUGAUGAACCUUCCACCAUUGAUCUCAUCGCUUCACUGAGCUACACCAAGAAUGUGGAUCAUCAAUAUGUGUCUGAGAUACUUUUGGCAUCUGACCUUUUAGUCAAAGAUCACA
rnacentral:lncRNA from 1 species